rnacentral:rRNA from 1 species
GACGAACGCUGGCGGCGUGCUUAACACAUGCAAGUCGAACGGAAAGGCCCUGCUUUUGUGGGGUGCUCGAGUGGCGAACGGGUGAGUAACACGUGAGUAACCUGCCCUUGACUUUGGGAUAACUUCAGGAAACUGGGGCUAAUACCGGAUAGGAGCUCCUGCUGCAUGGUGGGGGUUGGAAAGUUUCGGCGGUUGGGGAUGGACUCGCGGCUUAUCAGCUUGUUGGUGGGGUAGUGGCUUACCAAGGCUUUGACGGGUAGCCGGCCUGAGAGGGUGACCGGCCACAUUGGGACUGAGAUACGGCCCAGACUCCUACGGGAGGCAGCAGUGGGGAAUAUUGCACAAUGGGCGGAAGCCUGAUGCAACAACGCCGCGUGCGGGAUGACGGCCUUCGGGUUGUAACCCGCUUUCGCCUGUGACGAAGCGUGAGUGACGGUAAUGGGUAAAGAAGCACCGGCUAACUCCGUG